rnacentral:rRNA from 1 species
UACGGGGGGAGCAAGCGUUGUUCGGAUUUACUGGGCGUAAAGGGCGCGUAGGCGGUCAGCACAAGUCAGUUGUGAAAUCUCCGGGCUUAACUCGGAAAGGUCAACUGAUACUGUGCGACUAGAGUGCAGAAGGGGCAACUGGAAUUAUCGGUGUAGCGGUGAAAUGCGUAGAUAUCGAGAGGAACACCUGCGGCGAAGGCGGGUUGAUGGGCUGACACUGACGCUGAGGCGCGAAAGCCAGGGGAGCGAACGGG